AUGUCUCUGUCUGAACUUUUAACCAAAGCUCUGACCUGCGAACUACUCAUGACACCCCCCUCCCCUUAAGUAGCCAUCUCCCCUUUUCUCUUUCUGAAUUUACAUUUUAACCUGUUUUAUCCUGUAGAAUCUUGAUUAAUUAUGCAUGACCAUUAUGAUCUGUUAAUCACUUUGUUUACUUCUGUGUAUAAAUAUUGAUGCUCACCCCUAAUAAACUUGCCACACUUACUCUGAAGCCUUUCAAGCUAAGGAUAGUGUGAGCCCGUUGAUCAACGAAUUGGUGUCUGGUCUCUGUCAAAUUGUGAGCCCCAUACCAACUCCGCACGAACUCGGGUGCUGGAGAGGCUCGCCUCCGUACCCUUUGAAAAGCCUCGCAGUUUUCCCAGACCGUGCCGCUGGAAGAACAGAUCCACCCGUUCCAACCAGGGGACUUCGUCUGGGCCAAAAAGUUCAUUCGUGGCAACACCCUCCAGCCAAGGUUUACUGGACCCCACCAGGUUCUUUUAACAACCCAGACUGCAGUGUUUCUAAAAGGACGCAAAUCCUGGACCCACCACUCCCACGUCAAGCCAGCCAUAGUGGACCACAGUGACGGACCAGCAGCUCUUGCCACCACUGAGGACACUGCCUCCGACCAGUGAACCAGCUUACCUCUUUCAGACAUCAGACUUAAAUUAACUCAGAAAAAAUAAGAGAACCUUUUAUUCUAACAACUGUAUGUUUUUUAUUAUGCCUUUUUAGUUUAUUUUCUGCUUAUGAAAAUAAUGCUUUUAUUAAAUAUUCCCACGAGGUUAAAACUCGUAUUUUAGGAAAUAGAAGUAAUUGCUGGGUAUGUACUCAAUUUCCAGUAAAUGCAGAACAGGGACUCCCCUUCACACCCAUUCCCCUGACCACUGCUAAUAUGACUUGAAUGCCACCGGCUAGAGUAAAAGAUCCAGUCCAACACAAUCUUACAUGGAACAAAACAGAAGUGCCAAUUAACAGAUAUCUCAGGGUAACCAAUCAGACAGGAUCACUGUGUUUUGUUAAAGAAAAGGGGUCAACUUUUGUGGGAACAAGUAAAUGCAACAUGUAUUUUAAU